rnacentral:snRNA from 1 species
GGAUGUGAGGGCGAUCUGGCUGUGACAUCUGUCACCCCACUGACCCCCAGAGUUGAUUCAGCUCAUCUGGAUGGCUAGGCGGGUGUCCCCUUCCUCUCCCACAACUCCCUGUACAUCCCUCCCAAAGCUGCACACUCAGUUAAGAGGACGACCUUCCCCAAUCGAGGAGGACCAGUCUUCAGUCAAGGGUAGAGGAGUAGCUGCACUUCCUUGCUAGAACCUCCGAACAAACUCCCAAAAGGACAUCUGGAAAAUAAAGAAACAUGCCUAUGACUAAUCCUCAGAGAAACACAAGCUGAAACAUCGUGAUAUCACUUUACACACUUUUGU